rnacentral:rRNA from 1 species
AUCGAACGCUGGCGGCAGGCCUAACACAUGCAAGUCGAGCGGAUGAAGGGAGCUUGCUCCUGGAUUCAGCGGCGGACGGGUGAGUAAUGCCUAGGAAUCUGCCUGGUAGUGGGGGACAACGUUUCGAAAGGAACGCUAAUACCGCAUACGUCCUACGGGAGAAAGCAGGGGACCUUCGGGCCUUGCGCUAUCAGAUGAGCCUAGGUCGGAUUAGCUAAUUGGUGAGGUAAUGGCUCACCAAGGCGACGAUCCGUAACUGGUCUGAGAGGAUGAUCAGUCACACUGGAACUGAGACACGGUCCAGACUCCUACGGGAGGCAGCAGUGGGGAAUAUUGGACAAUGGGCGAAAGCCUGAUCCAGCCAUGCCGCGUGUGUGAAGAAGGUCUUCGGAUUGUAAAGCACUUUAAGUUGGGAGGAAGGGUUGUAGAUUAAUACCCUGCAAUUUUGACGUUACCGACAGAAUAAGCACCGGCUAACUCUGUGCCAGCCGCCGCCGUAACAC